CCCACUUCUAGCGGAGACAGGGGGUGAUGGGAAACCGGCGGGCAUAUGGUGGAGAGGCUUUUCCGGCACUUUGUCAGCGCUAUUUUUGGCGAAUCGAAGAAGAAGAAGGAGGAUGAGGAAUAAAGAAUUGGUCGAUGCAGGGUAAGGUAUGGUAGGCCUGUCCACAGCAUGCACUGUUUGGAGUCUGCUGCAGCUUUCUCGAGCUCAUGCACAGAGCUGUGACUACACGAAGUAUUGCAGGGACUAAAAGAAGGGAAGCAGCCAUGACUUGGCCUCCGCAGGGACAGUCAGUAUUCUGAGGUUUUCUGGAGUCUAUCAUCAUGGUCUUUCCCACAGAUAUAUUAUCCUUAGAAUUUUGAGAUCUGUAUUAGGGAAGUUGGCAUCUGAUUCCACCACAAGUCGAGCAUCUAAUUCCUUGACAGGCGCACCACCUUUCCCCCUUCCUCUUCACAGACGCAUCUUCCACCUCUUUUCCUUUUUCUAAGCAUGUAAAACUCUCUCUCUCUCUCUCUCUCUCUCUCUCUAGUUUAGGGAGAUAAACUAUGUCAAAUGGGCCUUCUCUUUAUAAGAGCACCAACAGUUCAUAAGCA
rnacentral:lncRNA from 1 species